rnacentral:rRNA from 1 species
AUUGAACGCUGGCGGCAGGCCUAACACAUGCAAGUCGAACGCGUGGCGGACGGGUGAGUAAUGUCUGGGUAACUGCCUGAUGGAGGGGGAUAACUACUGGAAACGGUAGCUAAUACCGCAUACCCUCGGAUGUGCCCAGAUGGGAUUAGCUAGUAGGUGGGGUAAAGGCUCACCUAGGCGACGAUCCCUAGCUGGUCUGAGAGGAUGAACAGCCACACUGGAACUGAGACACGGUCCAGACUCCUACGGGAGGCAGCAGUGGGGAAUAUUGCACAAUGGGCGCAAGCCUGAUGCAGCCAUGCCGCGUGUAUGAAGAAGGCCGUCGGGUUGUAAAGUACUUUCAGUGGGGAGGCGUUACCCGCAGAAGAAGCACCGGCUAACUCCGUGCCAGCAGCCGCGGUAAUUC